CAUCGCUCUGAUAGGAGGGGAAAACUAGGAGGUUGUCCAUGGAGGAAGCACAGUUGUAUUAUUCAUAAAGAAAUAGAAACAAGACAGGAAUAUCUGAAUUUUACUUAGAAGGACAUGUUUACUGCUCACUGAUUACUCAAUAUGCCGCAACGGAAGCAGAGGAUUUGCACAGAUGUCACGACGAAGUAAGAAUCUAUCUAAUCUACAAACGACGGCCGAUAAACAGAAAGUCAUUCAUUUCCUAUGGAGAGUUGCAAAGUCGCUGCGUGAGAGUAUGAGAUCAAUAAAGAAUGUUGCCCCAUGUGUGCACCUGGAAGCCAUGUUUAUAGGUAUUGCACAAAAUAUGUCAGCACGACUCACACGUGCGCCGUGUGUUGACUCUUUCACUUCUGAGCCAACUGAUCUUCUACAAUGCUUUAGCUGUGCAGUGUGUGAUUCUGGCCAAGGCUUACAAGUAAAAACAGCCUGCACAAGAAUUUCAGAUACAGUUUGUGAGCCACUAGAGGGAAUGUACUGUACUAAUUAUGAGAAGGGUAGUUGUACACAGGCUGUGGAACACACACAGUGUAGCCCUGGACAAUAUAUAAAGCAGAAAGGAACAGCACGUGAAGAUGCCGAAUGUGCUGAAUGUAAAAAUGGUACCUACUCUGAUGGCUCACUUGACAUGUGCAGGCAACAUACAAAGUGUGAAGAUUUAGGACUUGAAGCAAUUAAACCAGGAACAAUGAUAUCUGAUGUUGAGUGUGGAAAUAAAAUCAAUUUAGUGGCCCUUAUAGUUGGAAUCAUAGUUUUCAUUGCAGUUGUGGCUGUUGCAGUGGUCCUUUUUGUCAAAAUUAGACAUAAGAUUAGCCGACGUUCAGGUAAGUGUUUCAAACUAAUCUUAUUAAAUAGAUUACAUUAUAAGAAAAUGCUGAUUACAAAACUAAUUUUCUAAAAACUGUCCUUUUUAAACAGUUCGGAAUGCUGAGAAGGAACGAGGGUGUGUCCUGCCUUGAUGCCGCCCGAUGACGCCUGAGAUAGGCACAGGCUCCCCGUGACCCGAGGUAGUUCGGAUAAGCGGUAGAAGAUGAAUGAAUGAAUGAAUGAAUGAAUGUUACUUUUCUCAUAUAUCUAUAGAAAAGUGAUUUUAAUUUUGUUUUUCCUAUCCAAGAAAACACUCACUCCAUAGACAGUAUUUCUAUAAUAAGAGAACUUACAGAACAGAAGAUCAGGACACGAGGUGAACACGCUGUCCUUACUGGGGAUCUAGACAUCAGAGUCAUAAUAAAGGAAGAAAAAUGCAAUGCCAGAGCCUCCUUUUAGGGACUGGAAUGGACUGCAUUACUGCUGGACGUCACUGCAUUCAUCUGAAAUGAAUGAUCAGAAGUCUGAUCAGAAGAGUCACUUCCUUGUCUGAAGAGCUGCCUCUUUAAUAAUCAAGAUGAACCCAACACUAAUUUCUCUCUGUGAGGGUUUUAGCUUGAUGGAGGACUUAUUAUUGUAGUGAGACGAUGAGAAAUAACACUUAACUCUUGACUUGUUUUUAUUUGGAGGAAUUUCACAGAGACAACAUUUUAUAUUGUACUUAACUCUAGGACAUAGGCUGCUGGAGAAAACAGGAAAAAAUAGUGCUUUGAAAUUCUGCUUGCUAUCAAAAUUUCACAAGAAGUUAUUCAAAAAGGGAUAAUUGUGCAUGUGCAAGUUUUGAAACAUUUACUUUAAUAUUGUUUAUUUUAUUUUGUAGAACAAAUUAUUUACAACAAAUUCCAACUUAAAUUACAAUAAAGCAUAAAUUACAAAAUAACCAUUAA